rnacentral:lncRNA from 1 species
CCAAACCCCGUUUCCCCACCUAAAACCUAAUACACGAAUAGAUACACGCAUAUGUAGAGGAGACGCCUGGAAAAUUUUGAGCGCAGCCUUUGCAGAAAAUCGAACCUCCAUCUCCAACGAUCGGGUUGUUUCUUCUUCAUAGAUGAGGAGCCAAAACUCAUGGCUGUCAUCCUGGGCUUCCUCAGCUAAGAACCAAACGACCCCUGUAUCUUUGCUUCACCAUUUUCAGAACAUGAGACUUCACUCAUAACUCCUAAAUAAACCCAGCUGCUCAACCUUCCAUCAACAUUAAGGUUUGAGUUUUAGAAGGCGAAAUUAUACAAGAACACUCCAGUUUCUUCUCUUGAAUUCUAGAUUUUCAUUUGUUGUGUUUUUUUUAAUGGAGUUUGUUUGAGGCCGGUUCGAUUCACAUUCCGAGUUUCGUGUUCGCGGUUUCGGUUGAAGUGUGUUUCAUUCUGCUGUUUGGUUUAGUUCGUCACUGGGAUUUACAUUUUUCAGAUCCUUGUCGCUGAAUGUAUUAGACUCAUGUUUUGAUAUGAAAAGUUUUGUCAUGGGGUUCAAUUGAAUUUCAAAGUUUUUUGUGGCUUCUUCUGAUUUCAAUGGAGACGAGUUAAAUUCUGCUCGUGUCGGAGUUGUUUUGAGUGUUUGUCGUUGAUCGGGGUUCGUUCGUGGCUGUUAAUUUCCAUUUUAUUUCUCUGGGCUAUGGUUUGCGUUGGAUUGUUACUGCCGGAUUCUUUUGUAAUCUGCUGAAGAAUUAACUGAAAGUUCCGACAUGUUCGUCUUCUACUUCUCCUUGCUUUAUUAACUGAAGAUGUUUGUGAGCUAGUUAAUAUAUUAAUCUGUGAUGCCGAUUUCUGGUGAAUUUAUUGAAUCUCCAUUCGUUUGGUGUGUUUGAUUGAAGCUCGUCCAGUUAUGAGAUUGGAAAGAGCAAACUGUGCUCAAAAGUUGAAUAGUUUCAACUUAUCCGAAAAGAAGGUUAUAAAGAUUUGAAUAAUUUCCUAUGGAAAGAUAAUGGUGUUUAGACUCAAUCGAAUGUUGUUAUGCGUAGGUGAUCAUUCUGUUAGCUGAGCAAUUUAGCCUAUAUAGACUACGAUCUCGUAUUCUCCUAGGUUGUUAGCCUUUCUUUGCUAUUUAUCAUAUUAUGGUGUUGAUCGAAAUACAAUGAUAGUUGAGAUUCCGUUAGAGUGAAAAUGAUGAAGAGUGGGUUUAUAUGGUACCCGUAUGUGAUGCAAAUUAUUAUUGGGAAUUCUGUUGGUUUCCAUUGAUUUUGGGCAUAUCUUCCUUGUCGAUUAGGUUUGUGUGCUACCUACUGUUUCCUUGAGUUUUCUUUAUUCAAAUUAUGUUCUUGAGUUAUUACUUUUAUUUGAAAUUGAAUGAAACAGUAGAUGGGCAUUUGGUUUUGGUUUGUGUUCAAUGGGAGUUGACUGAUUUUAAACAGCCAUUUUGUGGCCUUAUGUUUAGAAAUCGAUUAGUUCUAUUAAAAUUAGACCCACGGGUGCAAAGUUUGAAAAGUCUUGUUGUAUUUUAUUGAUAUUUUGAAAGAUAAAUGUUAUGUCAUUGCUAAAUGGUAUAUGGUAGUACUGAGUGUUGGUGAUAAUUGUGAAGAUAUGUUGAAGAGAUAGCACAUUAGUAUUUGUGGAAUUUGAG